CAGCAGCAGCCGCGGUAAUACGAAGGGUGCAAGCGUUACCCGGAAUUACUGGGCGUAAAGCGUGCGUAGGUGGUGGUUUAAGUCCGUUGUGAAAGCCCUGGGCUCAACCUGGGAAUUGCAGUGGAUACUGGGUCACUAGAGUGUGGUAGAGGAUAGUGGAAUUUCCGGUGUAGCAGUGAAAUGCGUAGAGAUCGGAAGGAACAUCUGUGGCGAAGGCGACUAUCUGGGCCAACACUGACACUGAGGCACGAAAGCGUGGGGAGCAAACAGGAUUAGAUACCCGCGUAGUCCCUGUCUCUUAUAC
rnacentral:rRNA from 1 species